rnacentral:rRNA from 1 species
UGGGGAAUCUUGGACAAUGGGCGCAAGCCUGAUCCAGCCAUGCCGCGUGAGUGAUGAAGGCCUUAGGGUUGUAAAGCUCUUCUGCCGGGGACGAUAAUGACGGUACCCGGAGAAUAAGUCCCGGCUAACUUCGUGCCAGCAGCCGCGGUAAUACGAAGGGGACUAGCGUUGUUCGGAAUCACUGGGCGUAAAGCGCACGUAGGCGGAUUGUUAAGUCAGAGGUGAAAUCCCGGAGCUCAACUUCGGAACUGCCUUUGAUACUGGCAAUCUAGAGUCCGGAAGAGGUUAGUGGAAUUCCCAGUGUAGAGGUGAAAUUCGUAGAUAUUGGGAAGAACACCAGUGGCGAAGGCGGCUAACUGGUCCGGUACUGACGCUGAGGUGCGAAAGCGUGGGGAGCAAACAGGAUUAGAUACCCCAGUAGUCCCUGAGCGGGCUGGCAAGGCGCAU